GACAGCAGUCCGACAACCCUUGAGAGAGGUUGUAGUGGAUACCACUGCUUACUGAGUUAACACAAGGAAAAUGGUGGUGAAUGGCUUUCUCAGACCUAUGGAAUACUGACUUUGCUCUUGGUUAGGCUCUGGCAUUGAAGAUAAAUCAUCAUUAUGAGACAUAAGGAACCUCUGCAUCGCUUGGCUCUUGGUUGGCUCUGGAAUUCCUGAUUUGGAAUUCAUUUGGAUUAACUACGCGGGAUCAUUGCAAUUUGAAACCAAAAGCCAGACUUCUUGGUGUGCUUGGGCUCCUUCCCACGACCUGUUGACUUGGUUCUUCUCUGAAACACUGUGGAUAUUAUACAUAAUAGAGACAGAGAGACAGAGAGAAAGAGAAAGAGAGAUAGAGAGAGAGAGAGAGAGAGAGAGAGAGAGAGAGAGAGAGAGAGAGAGGUCAGGCCUGACAGGCAGCAGUCAAAGGAAACUUCCUGUAGUUCUGUGGCAGAGUGUUUGAGCCGGCUUACCAGAAUAAAUAAUUACUGUACGUUAUUAUAAGGCAUGAACUCCCUUUCAAAGAGCACAAAGAGCAGGGGGAAGCAGCGACAGUGUUCUGCCGGAGACGGUGUUGACGCGGCCCUAUAUUGCCCCCUCCAUGGGGUACGGCUCGGCCAUCUCUGAGAUAUGGAUGGCCAAUGGUGGGACCAUGCAUCUUGGCAUAGCGAGGCCUUGUCUAUGCACCCGAUGACAUGGCAACCGUCCAAAGAUGGCGAGCGCCUGAUUGGGCGGAUUAUACUAAACAAGAGGAUGAAGGAUGGAACGGUGCCCCGAGACACAGGAGCUCUGCUGGGACU